rnacentral:rRNA from 1 species
AUUGAACGCUGGCGGCAUGCCUUACACAUGCAAGUCGAACGGCAGCACGGACUUCGGUCUGGUGGCGAGUGGCGAACGGGUGAGUAAAGUAUCGGAACGUACCUUUCAGUGGGGGAUAACGUAGCGAAAGUUACGCUAAUACCGCAUAUUCUGUGAGCAGGAAAGCAGGGGAUCGCAAGACCUUGCGCUGAUUGAGCGGCCGAUAUCAGAUUAGCUAGUUGGUGGGGUAAAGGCCUACCAAGGCGACGACCUGUAGCGGGUCUGAGAGGAGGGUCCGCCACACUGGAAAUGAGACACGGUCCAGACUCCUACGAGAGGAAGCGGUGGGGAAUUUUGGACAAUGGGGGCAACCCUGAUCCAGCCAUGCCGCGUGAGUGAAGAAGGCCUUCGGGUUGUAUAGCUCUUUCGGCCGGGAAGAAAUCGCAUGGGCUAAUACCCUGUGUGGAUGACGGUACCGGAAUAAGAAGCACCGGCUAACUACGUGCCAGCCGCCGCAGUAAAAC